rnacentral:rRNA from 1 species
GGGGAAUAUUGCGCAAUGGGGGAAACCCUGACGCAGCAACGCCGCGUGAGUGAUGAAGGUCUUCGGAUUGUAAAGCUCUGUCUUUGGGGACGAUAAUGACGGUACCCAAGGAGGAAGCCACGGCUAACUACGUGCCAGCAGCCGCGGUAAUACGUAGGUGGCAAGCGUUGUCCGGAUUUACUGGGCGUAAAGAGUAUGUAGGCGGAUAUUUAAGUCAGAUGUGAAAUUCCCGGGCUUAACCUGGGAGCUGCAUUUGAUACUGGAUAUCUAGAGUGCAGGAGAGGAAAGUGGAAUUCCUAGUGUAGCGGUGAAAUGCGUAGAGAUUAGGAAGAACACCAGUGGCGAAGGCGACUUUCUGGACUGUAACUGACGCUGAGAUACGAAAGCGUGGGGAGCAAAC